rnacentral:rRNA from 1 species
CACGUAGGGUGCGAGCGUUGUCCGGAAUUAUUGGGCGUAAAGAGCUCGUAGGCGGUGUGUCACGUCGGCCGUGAAAACCUGCAGCUUAACUGUGGGCGUGCGGUCGAUACGGGCAUCACUGGAGUUCGGCAGGGGAGACUGGAAUUCCUGGUGUAGCGGUGAAAUGCGCAGAUAUCAGGAAGAACACCAAUGGCGAAGGCAGCUCUCUGGGACGGUACUGACGCUGAGACGCGAAAGCGUGGGGAGCGAACAGG